CGCGUAGGCGGCCUAUUAAGUCAGGUGUGAAAUCCCACGGCUCAACCGUGGAGGUGCAUCUGAAACUGCUAGGCUUGAGUAUGGGAGAGGAAAGUGGAAUUCCCGGUGUAGAGGUGAAAUUCGUAGAUAUCGGGAGGAACACCAGUGGCGAAGGCGACUUUCUGGACCAAUACUGACGCUGAGGCGCGAAAGCGUGGGGAGCAAACAGGAUUAGAUACCCUGGUAGUCC
rnacentral:rRNA from 1 species